GAUUAGAGUUUGAUCCUGGCUCAGAACGAACGCUGGCGGCAUGCCUAACACAUGCAAGUCGAACGAACCCUUCGGGGUUAGUGGCGCACGGGUGCGUAACGCGUGGGGAUCUGCCCUUUGCUUCGGAAUAACAGUUAGAAAUGACUGCUAAUACCGGAUGAUGUCGAAAGACCAAAGAUUUAUCGGCAAAGGAUGAACCCGCGUAGGAUUAGCUAGUUGGUGGGGUAAAGGCCUACCAAGGCGACGAUCCUUAGCUGGUCUGAGAGGAUGAUCAGCCACACUGGGACUGAGACAUGGCCCAGACUCCUACGGGAGGCAGCAGUGGGGAAUAUUGGACAAUGGGCGAAAGCCUGAUCCAGCAAUGCCGCGUGAGUGAUGAAGGCCUUCGGGUUGUAAAGCUCUUUUACCAGGGAUGAUAAUGACAGUACCUGAGAAUAG
rnacentral:rRNA from 1 species